rnacentral:rRNA from 1 species
AUUGAACGCUGGCGGAAUGCUUUACACAUGCAAGUCGAACGGCAGCACGGACUUCGGUCUGGUGGCGAGUGGCGAACGGGUGAGUAAUGUAUCGGAACGUGCCCAGUCGUGGGGGAUAACGUAGUGAAAAUUACGCUAAUACCGCAUACGAUCUAUGGAUGAAAGCGGAGGUUCGCGAGACCUCGCGCGAUUGGAGCGGCCGAUAUCAGAUUAGGUAGUUGGUGGGGUAAAGGCCCACCAAGCCAACGAUCUGUAGCUGGUCUGGGAGGACGACCAGCCACACUGGAACUGAGACACGGUCCAGACUCCUACGGGAGGCAGCAGUGGGGAAUUUUGGACAAUGGGCGAAAGCCUGAUCCAGCCAUUCCGCGUGCAGGAUGAAGGCCCUCGGGUUGUAAACUGCUUUUGUACAGAACGAAAAGGUUUCUACUAAUACUAGGAGCUCAUGACGGUACUGUAAGAAUAAGCACCGGCUAACUACGUGCCAGCCGCCGCCGUAA